GAUGAAGAACGUAGCGAAAUGCGAUAAGUAGUGUGAAUUGCAGAAUUCAGUGAAUCAUCGAAUCUUUGAACGCACAUUGCGCCCUUUGGUAUUCCUUAGGGCAUGCCUGUUCGAGCGUCAUUUAAACCUUCAAGCUAAGCUUGGUGUUGGGUGACUGUCCGCUUCACGGCGGACUCGCCUCAAAAUUAUUGGCGGCCGGUACAUUGGCUUCGAGCGCAGCAGAAACGCGAACUCGGGCCCGUCGUAUUGGCUCCCAGAAGCUAUCUUCACAAUUUUGACAUCGGAUCAGGUAGGGAUACCCGCUGAACUUAAGCAUAUCAAUAAGCGGAGGA
rnacentral:misc_RNA from 1 species